rnacentral:rRNA from 1 species
ACGAACGCUGGCGGCGUGCUUAACACAUGCAAGUCGAACGGAAAGGCCCUGCUUUUGUGGGGUGCUCGAGUGGCGAACGGGUGAGUAACACGUGAGUAACCUGCCCUUGACUUUGGGAUAACUUCAGGAAACUGGGGCUAAUACCGGAUAGGAGCUCCUGCUGCAUGGUGGGGGUUGGAAAGUUUCGGCGGUUGGGGAUGGACUCGCGGCUUAUCAGCUUGUUGGUGGGGUAGUGGCUUACCAAGGCUUUGACGGGUAGCCGGCCUGAGAGGGUGACCGGCCACAUUGGGACUGAGAUACGGCCCAGACCCCUACGGGAGGCAGCAGUGGGGAAUAUUGCACAAUGGGCGGAAGCCUGAUGCAGCAACGCCGCGUGCGGGAUGACGGCCUUCGGGUUGUAAACCGCUUUCGCCUGUGACGAAGCGUGAGUGACGGUAAUGGGUAAAGAAGCACCGGCUAACUACGUG